AUUGAACGCUGGCGGCAUGCUUUACACAUGCAAGUCGAACGGUAACAGGCCUUCGGGUGCUGACGAGUGGCGAACGGGUGAGUAAUGCAUCGGAACGUGCCCAGAGUUGGGGGAUAACGCAGCGAAAGCUGUGCUAAUACCGCAUGUGAUCUGAGGAUGAAAGCGGGGGACCAGGCAGCAAUGUUUGGCCUCGCGCCUUUGGAGCGGCCGAUGUCAGAUUAGGUAGUUGGUGGGGUAAAGGCCUACCAAGCCGACGAUCUGUAGCUGGUCUGAGAGGACGACCAGCCACACUGGGACUGAGACACGGCCCAGACUCCUACGGGAGGCAGCAGUGGGGAAUUUUGGACAAUGGGCGCAAGCCUGAUCCAGCAAUGCCGCGUGCGGGAAGAAGGCCUUCGGGUUGUAAACCGCUUUUGUACGGAACGAAAAGGAUCUGGCUAAUACCUGGGGCUGAUGACGGUACCGUAAGAAUAAGCACCGGCUAACUACGUG
rnacentral:rRNA from 1 species